ensembl:lncRNA
CUCAUUCCUGUAUUAAAAACAUUUGGACGUUGAAAUGUCCCACGCUAACUUUUCCGUAAUUCUGAUUCACGCUGACAUAUGAGCCUUCUAAAUACACACACACACUCUUUUUAAGCAAUUUAUGAGUGUUAAAUAUAUUUCAUUAUGUAACGUUAACUCUGCCGGUUUUGAUGCAAUACACAAUUCAGAAUUUCGACCAUGGAGCUCCGUGAAAAGCAACUGUAUUACUGCGGUUGUUUAUAUAACUCACGAAGCUAAUGCUAAUAGUGCAAAACAGCGACUAAAUCUCCAGCCACACGGUGGCAGCGCGUCCUACGCGACCAAGAGCGAGCGUAACAUGGACGUACUGGAAAUUUUAAACAGCGAAGACUGUUGAAAUCGCGAUUAACCAAUGUGCCGUGCGUGCAUACACUCACAACUGAUACAAUGCAGACACACCAUCCAAGCUCAAUUCUGAGUCACUGUGGUUUUUCAAUCUUGACUCAUCAGAAGAAAGUGAUGGGGUUCACCUCAAACUUUUAUGUCACAUGGCCAAAAACUAAAAGUCCAAGCCACUGGUUUUCCAAGUGAUGUAAUAUCCUGUAUACCACAAUGUCCCAGAGAACAGCAUGUCUUCUGUAUGCAGAAUCUUAAGGGUCCCACUUUUUCCAUUCUGUCUUGAACACACACACACCAAAGACCAUGUGAAUCACUGUGGUUUCAUAGAGUCAUCUCCCCGAGCACUGGGAAACUGUGAGCAAGCAUUUCAACAGAUUGAAUAAG